rnacentral:lncRNA from 1 species
GAAGGUCCGAGGCUUGGGGAGCAGCCGUUGGCUCUGGUGCCCCUGGGGGUGGGAGCACGAGUGGGCAAGGAUGAUGGUGAGGCAGAGGAGGCGGCCCCGACCCGGCGAGCUCGAGGGAGCGCCCGGCUGAGAGGCGGGGGGCCGAGGGGCCCGGGGAGCGGGCGCCACCGAGGGCCCUGGAAGCGGCAGGGCUUGGGGAGAGGAGACGCGUGUGUGGAGCGUGGGGACCCCAGCCCAGCUCCCACUUGCAGACCUGGGCCGCGGGCUGCCGGCCGAGUGGCCGGGGGGCCUGGCUGCCCAGGAGGCGGGCCGGGGCCGCGGCCGGGGGCGCGGAGCGGAGUUAGGGUCACCAGGCCGAGCAGAGGUGGGACGGACCGACGCAGAGAGGAAGGGAAGCCACCUGGCCUGAAGAUCCUGUCUCUAAGAUCCCAUUCUGAGGCUGGAGUGCAAUCUUGACUCCCUGCAACCUCUGACUCCCAGGUUCAAGCGAUUCUCCUGCCUCAGCCUCCGAAGCAGCUGUGAGUGCAGGCAUGCACCACUACGCCUG